AUUGAACGCUGGCGGCAUGCUUUACACAUGCAAGUCGAACGGUAACAGGCCGCAAGGUGCUGACGAGUGGCGAACGGGUGAGUAAUGCAUCGGAACGUGCCCAGUCGUGGGGGAUAACUACUCGAAAGAGUAGCUAAUACCGCAUACGAUCUAUGGAUGAAAGCGGGGGACCGUAAGGCCUCGCGCGAUUGGAGCGGCCGAUGUCAGAUUAGGUAGUUGGUGGGGUAAAGGCUCACCAAGCCAACGAUCUGUAGCUGGUCUGAGAGGACGACCAGCCACACUGGGACUGAGACACGGCCCAGACUCCUACGGGAGGCAGCAGUGGGGAAUUUUGGACAAUGGGCGCAAGCCUGAUCCAGCAAUGCCGCGUGCAGGAAGAAGGCCUUCGGGUUGUAAACUGCUUUUGUACGGAACGAAACGGCUCUGGUUAAUACCCGGGGCUAAUGACGGUACCGUAAGAAUAAGCACCGGCUAACUACGUGC
rnacentral:rRNA from 1 species